UACAGAGGGUGCAAGCGUUGUUCGGAAUUAUUGGGCGUAAAGGGAGUGUAGGCGGCUUGUUAAGUCUUCUGUGAAAUCUACGGGCUUAGCCUGUAACGUGCAGAGGAAACUGGCGAGCUUGAGUGUCGGAGAGGAUAGGGGAAUACCCAGUGUAGAGGUGGAAUGCGUAGAUAUCAAGAGGAACACCUGAGGUGAAGACGGGUUGCUGGGCCGACACUGACGCUGAGUGCGCGAAAGCCAGGGGAGCAAACGGG
rnacentral:rRNA from 1 species